rnacentral:rRNA from 1 species
GAUGAACGCUGGCGGCGUGCCUAAUACAUGCAAGUCGAGCGAACGGACGAGACGCUUGCUUCUCUGAUGUUAGCGGCGGACGGGUGAGUAACACGUGGAUAACCUACCUAUCAGACUGGGAUCACUUCGGGAAACCGGCGCUAAUACCGGAUGAUAUUUUGCACCGCAUGGUUCAAAGGUGAAAGACGGUCUUGCUGUCACUUAUCGAUGCAUCCGCGCUGCAUUAGCUAGUUGGUAAGGUAACGGCUUACCAAGGCAACGAUGCAUAGCCGACCUGAGAGGGUGGUCGGCCACACGAGAACUGAGACACGGUCCAGACGCCUACGGGAGGCAGCAGUAGGGAAUCUUCCGCAAUAGGCGAAAGCCUGACGGAGCAACGCCGCGUGAGUGAUGAAGGUCUUCGGAGCGUAAAACUCUGUUAUGAGGGAAGAACAGAUGUGUAAGUAACUGUGCACAUCUUGACGGUACCUAAUCAGAAAGCCACGGCUAACUACGUG